AAUGGGCGAAAGCCUGAUCCAGCAAUGCAGCGUGUGUGAAGAAGGCCUGAGGGUUGUAAAGCACUUUCAGUAGGGAAGAUAAUGACGGUACCUACAGAAGAAGCACCGGCUAACUCCGUGCCAGCAGCCGCGGUAAUACGGAGGGUGCAAGCGUUAAUCGGAAUUACUGGGCGUAAAGCGUACGUAGGAUGUAAUGCAAGUCGGAUGUGAAAUCCCCGGGCUUAACCUGGGAACUGCAUUCGAAACUACAUUACUAGAGUGUAGUAGAGGUAAGCGGAAUUUCGGGUGUAGCGGUGAAAUGCGUAGAUAUCCGAAAGAACAUCAGUGGCGAAGGCGGCUUACUGGACUAACACUGACUCUGAGGUACGAAAGCGUGGGUAGCAAACAGGAUU
rnacentral:rRNA from 1 species